ACGCUGGCGGCGUGCUUAACACAUGCAAGUCGAACGGAAAGGCCCUGCUUUUGUGGGGUGCUCGAGUGGCGAACGGGUGAGUAACACGUGAGUAACCUGCCCUUGACUUUGGGAUAACUUCAGGAAACUGGGGCUAAUACCGGAUAGGAGCUCCUGCUGCAUGGUGGGGGUUGGAAAGUUUCGGCGGUUGGGGAUGGACUCGCGGCUUAUCAGCUUGUUGGUGGGGUAGUGGCUUACCAAGGCUUUGACGGGUAGCCGGCCUGAGAGGGUGACCGGCCACAUUGGGACUGAGAUACGGCCCAGACUCCUACGGGAGGCAGCAGUGGGGAAUAUUGCACAAUGGGCGGAAGCCUGAUGCAGCAACGCCGCGUGCGGGAUGACGGCCUUCGGGUUGUAAACCGCUUUCGCCUGUGACGAAGCGUGAGUGACGGUAAUGGGUAAAGGAGCACCGGCUAACUACGUGCCAGCAGCCGCGGUGAUACGUAGGGUGCGAGCGUUGUCCGGAUUUAUUGGGCGUAAAGGGCUCGUAGGUGGUUGAUCGCGUCGGAAGUGUAAUCUUGGGGCUUAACCCUGAGCGUGCUUUCGAUACGGGUUGACUUGAGGAAGGUAGGGGAGAAUGGAAUUCCUGGUGGAGCGGUGGAAUGCGCAGAUAUCAGGAGGAACACCAGUGGCGAAGGCGGUUCUCUGGGCCUUUCCUGACGCUGAGGAGCGAAAGCGUGGGGAGCGAACAGGCUUAGAUACCCUGGUAGUCCACGCUGUAAACGGUGGGUACUAGGUGUGGGGUCCAUUCCACGGGUUCCGUGCCGUAGCUAACGCUUUAAGUACCCCGCCUGGGGAGUACGGCCGCAAGGCUAAAACUCAAAGGAAUUGACGGGGCCCCGCACAAGCGGCGGAGCAUGCGGAUUAAUUCGAUGCAACGCGUAGAACCUUACCUGGGUUUGACAUGGAUCGGGAGUGCUCAGAGAUGGGUGUGCCUCUUUUGGGGUCGGUUCACAGGUGGUGCAUGGCUGUCGUCAGCUCGUGUCGUGAGAUGUUGGGUUAAGUCCCGCAACGAGCGCAACCCUUGUUCACUGUUGCCAGCACGUUAUGGUGGGGACUCAGUGGAGACCGCCGGGGUCAACUCGGAGGAAGGUGGGGAUGACGUCAAGUCAUCAUGCCCCUUAUGUCCAGGGCUUCACGCAUGCUACAAUGGCUGGUACAGAGAGUGGCGAGCCUGUGAGGGUGAGCGAAUCUCGGAAAGCCGGUCUCAGUUCGGAUUGGGGUCUGCAACUCGACCUCAUGAAGUCGGAGUCGCUAGUAAUCGCAGAUCAGCAACGCUGCGGUGAAUACGUUCCCGGGGCUUGUACACACCGCCCGUCAAGUCAUGAAAGUUGGUAACACCCGAAGCCGGUGGCCUAACCGUUGUGGGGGAGCCGUCGAAGGUGGGACUGGUGAUUAGGACUAAG
rnacentral:rRNA from 1 species